rnacentral:rRNA from 1 species
UACGAGGGGGGCGAGCGUUGUUCGGAAUUAUUGGGCGUAAAGGGUGCGUAGGCGGUUCGGUAAGUUUUGUGUGAAAUCUUCGGGCUUAACUCGAAGCCUGCAUAAAAUACUGCCGGGCUUGAGUAUGGGAGAGGUGAGUGGAAUUUCCGGUGUAGCGGUGAAAUGCGUAGAUAUCGGAAGGAACACCUGUGGCGAAAGCGGCUCACUGGACCAUAACUGACGCUGAGGCACGAAAGCUAGGGGAGCAAACAGG